ACGAACGCUGGCGGCGUGCUUAACACAUGCAAGUCGAACGAGAAUCUGCGGAAAGAGGAUUCGUCCAAUUGAAGCAGAGGACAGUGGCGGACGGGUGAGUAACGCGUGAGGAACCUGCCUUUCAGAGGGGGACAACAGUUGGAAACGACUGCUAAUACCGCAUGACACAUCGGAGUCGCAUGGCUCUGAUGUCAAAGAUUUAUCGCUGAAAGAUGGCCUCGCGUCUGAUUAGCUAGUUGGUGAGGUAACGGCCCACCAAGGCGACGAUCAGUAGCCGGUCUGAGAGGAUGAACGGCCACAUUGGGACUGAGACACGGCCCAAACUCCUACGGGAGGCAGCAGUGGGGAAUAUUGCACAAUGGGGGAAACCCUGAUGCAGCGACGCCGCGUGAGUGAUGAAGUAUUUCGGUAUGUAAAACUCUAUCAGCAGGGAAGAUAAUGACGGUACCUGACUAAGAAGCACCGGCUAAAUACGUG
rnacentral:rRNA from 1 species